CUGUACCUUUUUUAAAAUAAAUCUACAUAGAGGAAAUGCAAGAGGGUCAUGGAACUAGUAACCUAUAGAAAAUGAAGGAAAAACUAUAGUAGGUAGAGAUGCUUGAAUGUUGCUCACAGAUAAUAAAUGAUACUGAUUUUCUUCCUACUCCUCACAACCAAGAGUAUGCAUGAAAUCCAGAAAGCUACCUUGCAUACUUUUGUUUUAUUUAUUUAUUUAUGUGUUUACUUAUUUAUUUAUUUUUGUUUUCUUGAUUUUAUAUUUUUAAAUAAAUGACAGUGGAAUGCAUUACAAUUCUUAUUACACAUAUAGAACACAAUUUUUAUAUCUUUGUAUAUAGAGUAUGUUCACACCAAUUCAUGCCAUUAUACAUGUACUUUUUUUGCAUUACAAUUCUUAUUACACAAAUAUACCACAAUUUUUUAUAUCUCUGUUUAUACAUAAAUUAUGUUGACACCCAAUUUGAUUCUUCAUACAUGUACUUGGAUAAUGAUGUCCAUCACAUUUCACCAUCCUUGCUAAUCCCCUGCUCCCUCCCUUUCCCUCCCACCCUUCUUCCCUAUGCGCCCCCUCUCUACCCCACUAUGAGUCAGCCUCCUUAUAUCAGAGAAAACAUUCAGCAUUGGUUUUUUGGGGAUUGGCUAACUUCACUUAGCAUUAUCUUCUCCAGCGCCAUCCAUUUACCUGCAAAUGCCUGAUUUUAUUCUCUUUUAUUGCUGAGUAAAAUUCCAUUGUGUAUAUAUGCCACAUUAUUUUAUCCAUUCAUCCACUGAAGGGUAUCUAGGUUGGCUCCACAGUUUAGCCAUUGUGAAUUGUGCUGCUAUGAACACUGAUGUGGCUGUGUCCCUGUAGUAUUCUGUUUUUAAGUCCUUUGGGUAUAGUCUGAGGAAAGGGAUAGCUGGGUCAAAUGGUGGUUCCAUUCCCAGAUUUCCAAGAAAAUUCCAUACUGCUUAGCAUAUUGGCUGUACCAAUUUGCAGUUCCACCAGCAAUGUAUGAGUGUACCUUUUUCCCCACAUCCUCACCAACACUUAUUGUUAUUUGUCUUUCUAAUAGCUGCCAUUCUGACCGGUAUGAGAUGAUAUCUUAGAGUAGUUUUGAUUUGCAUUUCUCUGAUUGCUGGAGAUGAUGAACAUUUUUUCAUUUAUUUGUUGAUUGAUCAUAUAUCCUCUUCUGAGAAGUGUCUGUUCAUGUCCUUGGCCCAUUUGUUGAUUGGGUUAUUUGGUUUCUGUUUGUUUGUUUGUUUUUUGUGGGUUUUUUUUUUUUUG
rnacentral:lncRNA from 1 species